rnacentral:rRNA from 1 species
CCUACGGGAGGCAGCAGCGAGGAAUAUUGGUCAAUGGGCGCGAGCCUGAACCAGCCAAGUAGCGUGAAGGAUGACUGCCCUAUGGGUUGUAAACUUCUUUUAUAAAGGAAUAAAGUGAGGCACGUGUGCCUUGUUGUAUGUACUUUAUGAAUAAGGAUCGGCUAACUCCGUGCCAGCAGCCGCGGUAAUACGGAGGAUCCGAGCGUUAUCCGGAUUUAUUGGGUUUAAAGGGAGCGUAGACGGGUAGUUAAGUGAGUUGUGAAAGUUUGCGGCUCAACCGUAAAAUUGCAUUUGAUACUGGCAGUCUUGAGUACAGUUGAGGUAGGCGGAAUUCGUGGUGUAGCGGUGAAAUGCUUAGAUAUCACGAAGAACACCGAUUGCGAAGGCAGCUUACUAAACUGCCACUGACGUUGAGGCUCGAAAGUGUGGGUAUCAAACAGGAUUAGAUACCCCAGUAGUC